rnacentral:rRNA from 1 species
AUGCUUUCCUUCUUUAGAUUGCCUAAAGGUGUGGGUAAACGCUUUGAUUUUUUCCGAGCUCGUUUGGUUUGGCAAGAAAGGGACGGAGUGCGGAAGUACCACCUGGUCAACUGGAAUGAUGUGUGCCAACCUAGGGACCAGGGAGGACUGGGGGUUACUAAUCUAGAUGUUAAAAAUGUUAGUCUUCUUUGUAAGUGGCUCUGGAGACUAGAAAAUAAGGAGGGGGACUGGCAGGAGUUGAUUAGAGCAAAGUAUCUGAAGAAGAAAACUUUGACUCAAUGCGAAUCAUCUCCUAACAACUCCCACUUCUGGAAUGGCUUAAUGGAAGUUAAGAAUAUUUUUUAUAGCUGUUGUCAGAGAAUUGUGGGGGAUGGUCGUAAAACUAGAUUUUGGGAAGAUGCGUGGAUAAAGGAUAAACCUCUUUGUUUGAUUUUUCCUCGUCUUUAUAAUCUAACUUUUUGCAAACAUGUUACUGUUACGAAAGUA